rnacentral:rRNA from 1 species
GUAAGGUAACGGCUUACCAAGGCGACGAUCAGUAGCCGACCUGAGAGGUGAUCGGCCACAUUGGAACUGAGACACGGUCCAAACUCCUACGGGAGGCAGCAGUGGGGAAUAUUGCACAAUGGGCGAAAGCCUGAUGCAGCAACGCCGCGUGAGCGAUGAAGGCCUUCGGGUCGUAAAGCUCUGUCCUCAAGGAAGAUAAUGACGGUACUUGAGGAGCAAGCCCCGGCUAACUACGUGCCAGCAGCCGCGGUAAUACGUAGGGGGCUAGCGUUAUCCGGAAUUACUGGGCGUAAAGGGUGCGUAGGUGGUUUCUUAAGUCAGAGGUGAAAGGCUACGGCUCAACCGUAGUAAGCCUUUGAAACUGGGAAACUUGAGUGCAGGAGAGGAGAGUGGAAUUCCUAGUGUAGCGGUGAAAUGCGUAGAUAUUAGGAGGAACACCAGUUGCGAAGGCGGCUCUCUGGACUGUAACUGACACUGAGGCACGAAAGCGUGGGGAGCAAACAGGAUUAGAUACCCUGGUAGUCCACGCCGUAAACGAUGAGUACUAGCUGUCGGAGGUUACCCCUUUCGGUGGCGCAGCUAACGCAUUAAGUACUCCGCCUGGGAAGUACGCUCGCAAGAGUGAAACUCAAAUGAAUUGACGGA